rnacentral:lncRNA from 1 species
CCGCAUUAAUGGAGAUCUUGAUUUAUUUCUUAGUAAAGUAUGCUUCUACUCUAUAAAUAGGCCCUGUAUUAUUCUCUUCGAUGCUCACUCAUUUUCUCUCUCCUGAUUGUCCUCAUACCUCUUAAUCUUCUUAAGGUGAGUGACUGAGUAUCAAUAGGGGUAAUCCAUUUAUUUUGAUCAACCAAUUUCUAAUAAGCUUGUU